UAACAAAGAAUGUAUGCAUGCUGCUUCACAUAAGUCCUAGGUUUUGCUGCUGUUGCAUGUACUGGCAUUUGAACUUGUGAAAUGUGAAUCGCUAUCAUUUUCACUAAAGGAAGUACAGCUGAGGAUACUGAGGCCCGGAGGGUGAGCAAAGAGCAGGACUAAGAGUGACACUCCAGUCUUCUUGACUCUAAAGUCAGAUUUUCCCCCAUGACUUCAUGAUGCUCUCCAAGGGCUUCCUGGAUUUACUAAGACCCAGCUUUUUCCUCGUGAAUGUGGAAUACGUCCUACAGAAUGACCCAUUGGCAAAAUGGAAAGUGUCUAUGCCCUUCAAUUGCUUAGAGGAGCAAGAAUGCCCACCCAACUUCCAAUGCUUACCUUAACACAUUUACAUAAGAAGCAAGAAACAGACUUCUAAUCUAAGCCAUUGUCUUUUUUAAAGCAUUAUAUUUUGAGAUCUCUUUCUUUCAGCAGCUUAGCCCUUACCUGAGCUAAUGAAGAAUUAUUCGCUUCAUUUUACAGAUCAAAAAAAGUGAAGUUCAUGGGCGUAAGUCACUCAUGUCUUAGGAUUUUUCCAGCUUCCCUGUCUUGCUCAGUGGAGCAUAUUUCUGCUGAAAAUCAGUCCCUCAAGAAUGGGGACAGAACAAAACCAAGUGGGCCCAGGACCAGAAAUACUCAGCCCCAAUAGGAUCCAAGUCAGAACAGUCUUUAAUCUUUCCAUUUCUGGAUCUCAAGUGAGCACCAUUUUGUUUAACAGUUCUCCUCGAGAGGUUUGCUUUCUCAGAACAGCCUGUCCUCACUGCAAGAAGUUCAAAAAAGGGCUUUCCAGGGUUGUUGGUUAUGUGGCAUCACACCAGCUUACCUCAACACCUAUGACAAAUGACUGCGGAAGAAACGAUUCUUUCCACAUGAGUUCCUCAUCAGUAUCUACCUCUUAAGGUGUAUGUUAUUACUUACAAAAGAAAUCCAUCAUCUUGUUCUACAAAUAAAUACAGUUAUUACCAAAUUUGUGUUCUGCUGACCAAAUAGCACAGCUGUAGAAAGAAAAUCUUCAGGAAAUAAAUGAGGAGUCCUCCUCUAUAAGUCAAUACAACCAAAACCUUGAGAGUAAAUGAAGACAAAUGGGAAGCCAGCUGGAGGAAAUCAAAUAGGCAAAGCAGGUGGGUUAGCCUAUGUUUGAGAAGAUGAAACACAGCAUGAGACAUUGCACAUUUACACAAAAGCAAGAUCUAUAACCUUUGUCAGGCUUUGAACUAAGCUAAAUGCAUGACUUAUUUAAGAAGAGCUGGUAGCUGGGAACCGGUUGAACUAAGGGUGUCAAGACCAAUUCUGAAGAUGUUUUCUUAUACUUAGCCUGUUUUCAUGUUCUCUGAGGAUUGCCAAACAGCCAGUAGCAGAUGGUCCUUCAUAUAAGUGUGAUUUUAAGUUCUGUCAGGAUGGCAUGAUUGACUAUUUCCCAAGAGUAGCAGGAAGAAGAAAUUCUUGUAAAAAAAAAUGCCUGUGUUAUGUCGGGUAGCUAUAAAACAGGCAAAGGAUGAUUAUACCUUUGACAGGCUCUUCCUUGUUAGGACAAAAACAAUACUGGGCCAGACAGCCCUCAAUGACUACAACACUUAUCUGUGGACACUCAAAAGGGGUAAAAGCUCAAAAACUGAACCACAUAACCCCCUGGAAUAUGUACUUUAGGCAACAUAAUCAUGUAUCCACCAACACCAUAGCCUUUUCCAGAAAAGCCUGCCUUGCUGUUGAGGAGAUAGAUUUAGAUAUCACAGUUGAUUCCAUUUUGGCAGGAUUCAUGAAGCCAAAAAUAAUUGCCUCCUUCAUUUUGGGCCUCUAAGAAUGCUUCUGAAGUUGUAGCUCAAGCAUGCAAACACACACACACAC